CCGUAGCUCAGCUUGGACAGAGCAACCGGCUUCUAACCGGUAGGUCGAGGGUUCAAAUCCCCCCGG
rnacentral:tRNA from 1 species